GCUUACAUCAUUUAAUUUUACAUUUAAACUAAUAAGAUCUAUAACACGUAUACUGAUAAAUAUGGUUUUGGAAUUAAGCAUGUCAAAUCAGAAUAUUCCUAAUAUUACUGUGGAAAAAUAUGAAGAAAAUGUGGAUCUACAAAAUAAUUGUAGAUCAUUUUACUUGAAUCGUAAGAAGGCGUCAGAAGAUUUCAAGCAAUCACUAAAUGAGCAUAGUGAAAAGAAUGUCGGUACAGGGAAAAGAACAUCACUUUCUACGGCUAUGGACAAGUUGCGAGAAGAAAUGGCUUCGCUUGUGGACCAAGACUUAUCUUUGAUGAAGCAACUAAUGACUUUGAAUGAAACAAUAGAAGAAAUAAAAACCAAGAGACUGUAUGGCGUGAGCAAAGACUCUGUAGCAGAUAGUAUAGAUGGUGUUGACAGGAGAGAAACAAAUACGCCCCAAAGUAUAUCCACUCUAUCAUUAAACAGUGACCACUGAAGUGAAAGUAGUAAUGGUGUAAAAGCAAACUACGUAGGAAUUCCGACAGAGUUUUCCAAAAACAGCCGUCAAACAUACCUCUACUGAUUCUGGUUAUGGAUACUGAGCAGAAUCGUUUUUCUAGUCUUAGAUGAUAUAGAUUGAUCUCAGAACAUCGAACAUUCUACUUUAUACAACAGCAUUGUCCAUUAUGACCAUUGUACACUGUGGUUAAACAAACGAGCAUCCAAAGUCACUGUGAUAGUCACAAGCAGACGAUUUCCGAACUUAUAGAAAUAUAAAACUCAUGACUCGUUGUUCUUUCAUUUCAUUAUGAUGUUAAUGUUUAUAUUGUCGUUAUAUUUUAUGAUAAAAAAAUAUGUUGUUAUGAAUUGAUUAUAUAUGAGCAAAUAAACUCAUCAUACCAGGA